rnacentral:sRNA from 1 species
AAAGUAUUAGUAGAAGUGACGGGUCAAAACAAAGUCUAAAUAUGGGUGGGAGGUCAAAACAAAGUUUAAAUAUGGGUGGGAGGUCAAAAGAAAGUCUAAAUAUGGGUGGGAGGUCAAAACAAAGUUUAAAUAUGGGUGGGAGGUCAAAAGAAAGUCUAAAUAUGGGUGGGAAGUCAAAAGAAAGUCUAAAUAUGGGUGGGAGGUCAAAAGAAAGUCUAAAUAUGGGUGGGAAGUCAAAAGAAAGUCUAAAUAUGGGUGGGAGGUCAAAAGAAAGUCUAAAUAUGGGUGGGAGGUCAAAAGAAAGUCUAAAUAUGGAUGGGAAGUCAAAAGAAAGUCUAAAUAUGGAUGGGAGGG